CCCUUAGAUGUUCUGGGCCGCACGCGCGCUACACUGAUGCAUUCAACGAGUCUAAAACCUGCUCUGAUAGGGGUGGGUAAUCUUUUGAAUGUGCAUCGUGAUUGGGAUAGAUGAUUGCAAUUUUUCAUCUUCAACGAGGAAUGCCUAGUAAACGCAAGUCAUCAGCUUGCAUUGAUUACGUCCCUGCCCUUUGUACACACCGCCCGUCGCUCCUACCGAUUGAAUGAUCCGAUGAAUAUCAUGGAUUGAGGAUGCAAGUAGGUUAGCCUAUCUUCAUCUUCGAGAAGUGAAGUAAAUCUUAUCAUUUAGAGGAAGGAGAGGUCGUAACA
rnacentral:rRNA from 1 species